CCUACGGGCGGCAGCAGUGGGGAAUAUUGGGCAAUGGAGGAAACUCUGACCCAGCAACGCCGCGUGAAUGAUGAAGGUCUUCGGAUUGUAAAGUUCUUUUCUAAGGGAAGAAGAAAGUGACGGUACCUUAGGAAUAAGCCUCGGCUAACUACGUGCCAGCAGCCGCGGUAAUACGUAGGAGGCGAGCGUUAUCCGGAAUGACUGGGCGUAAAGGGUGCGUAGGCGGAUCGUUAAGUCAGUGGUCAAAUUGAGGGGCUCAACCCCUUCCCGCCAUUGAAACUGGCGUUCUUGAGUGGAAGAGAAGUAUGCGGAAUGCGUGGUGUAGCGGUGAAAUGCAUAGAUAUCACGCAGAACUCCGAUUGCGAAGGCAGCAUACCGGCGCGCAACUGACGCUCAUGCACGAAAGCGUGGGUAUCGAACAGGAUUAGAUACCCCUGUAGUC
rnacentral:rRNA from 1 species